GUGCUCGCUUGGCCAGCACAUGGACUAAAAUUGGAACAAUGCAGAGAAGAUUAGCAUGUCCCCUGGUGCAAGGACGACACACAAACUCAUGGAGAUUCUCAUAUUUUUU
ensembl:snRNA U6 U6 spliceosomal RNA